GUGGGCGGAAGCAGGGGAUUCUAAGCUGGUCGCUGGUACCGAGGUAGACUCUUAGAAUGCAGCUUGUGUUGAGGGAUUUGGAGUUCCGUCCUGAGAAAUCCACAAGUCAGGUACUCUCUUUUGUCCUGCGUCUUUCGUUGCCGGUCCCCUCCCACGGAGAGUUGUUACCGUGAGUCCCUCGUGUGCCCCUGGCUGUCGCAGACCUGGUGGAGGUAUGAGGUCUGGAUUAUGGUAAAGAUUCUGAAGACAAAGAUUCCGCCCGAAACUUAUGUCCUCAGCUGGUAACUCACAGGUUUCUGUAUCUAACUGUUUUGCUCCGUUCCUUUUGGUCUUGGGAACUGGAAUCUAUCUCCCUUAGGGUUAGAUGCUAACAGUAAACCACGACUAUGUCAGAAGUCUGAGUUGGUGUUUACACCCAUGAACCGUGAAAUCUUGGCUCUUAGAACUCUCCCACUUUCUUCAAAUAGAAUGGAUGGAUAGAUAGAUAGAUAGAUAGAUAGAUAGAUAGAUAGAUAAACUUUCUGCUGACCCUCUGGGUUCUACCUCCUAAUGACUAGAUCUUGAUGACCCAGUAAAAAACUUAAUCUUAGUGACAAUUUCACACUAUUAAAUAGGAAAUCAUUCCAGAAUUAUUCCUCUGGCAUUAGGUACAUGACAGAUAAGCAGUCAGACAGACGUGCAGAAGUUUAGACACACAUAUAUAAGCAAUGAGCCAAGCAGGUACUAGAAAAAGAUUCGGCACUUUGAAUUUGAAAGCAGAAAUUUCUCCUUAAACACACUUCAGAUGAAACGAUGAUACUUGCAAUGCAGGCAACUUGCAUUGUCCAGGCCUCAUCACUUUUUUUUUUUUUUUUUUUUUUGGUUUUUCGAGACAGGGUUUCUCUGUAUAGUCCUGGCUGUCCUGGAACUCACUCUGUAGACCAGGCUGGCCUCGAACUCAGAAAUCCGCCUGCUUCUGCCUCCCAAGUGCUGGGAUUAAAGGCAUGUGCCACCACGCCCGGCUUGCCUCAUCACUUCUUAAGCUAGACAUUUGCUGAGAGCACUGAUCUAGCACAGUCUCAUACAAGCUGUGGAUGCAGUUUCAGUUUCUGUGAGCCCUCUAAGCCCAAAGCAUCAAUAUUUAUUAGUGCUUUUUGAAAGGUUACUGAUAGUUUUUCUCUGGCUGUUUCUGAUGGAGAUAGUUUUACUAUAUAAGUUUAAAGCAUCAUUUAGGGCUGGUGUAACAAAACGCCAUAAUUCUGAAGGCUGGAAGCCCAAAGUCAAAUGCAGGAAGAUUUGAUGUCUUCUACCCCUACCCUGCCCCCUUAGCCUGGAGACUGCCGCCUUUCUUUGCACCCUCACAUUACUUUCCCUCACCCCAGUUCAGUUCAUCCUCCACGCAGCUAUGAUGACCACAGCAGAUCUCUUGCAUCAUGACCUUCCCUUCUUCCUCUAAUGGAUAUUUCUUUUUCUCAGCAGCUCUAAAGACAAUAAGUUUAACCUUACCUCUGUUUGCUAAGUCAGUUUGUUUCAACAGUCUACUUUUGUUGGCUCCUCAGGCAAGAGUCUUUUUUGGUAAUUGAUCUUAGUUAACAUUUCAUGUUCAAGCCUGAAGACCUUGGCUGAUUUUUCUGCAUGAUUUGUGUUGUUUCCUGACCCCCUCUCACUGUUGUAAGUGGAUUUGUUUCCGUCUAAGUCUGCAUCCUUUUCUCCCUGAGUUAUUUGUUACGUUUCUUUAGAGACAAGAGUACAGUUCUGUGCAGAAAGUCAUCCCCAACCUGCCUUUGCUGGUGCAGGGGAAUGGCAGUUAUGAGUGUCAGCUAUACUACUUCCCCUACUUCCUGCCUUACCAUCUCUCACUGCAACAGGCAGCCACACACACAAACAACUCCUGGACCAGCAAUUCCCAUCUCCGUUGUGCUCCUGUCUUGAAAUUAUCUGGGGAAACAAGUCCCCUUUGAUGUGUUUAUAAAAAGAUAAAGAAAAAGGGGGUAUAUUCUAUGGGGGUGUGGUGAGGCAUGGGGGGCAGGGGGUGUCUCAGUGGCCCCAUGCAGAGGCAUCCUUUUCCCCUAAGGGACCAGCUACACGAGGGUAUAGUAUAGAAUAGAGUUUAUUCAAGGUAUGGGGAGGAGAGUUAAGAGAGUAGCAGAGAGAUAGAGAGAGAGAGAGAGAAAGAGAGAGAGAGGAAGAGAAAGAGAAGAGAAGUAGAGGCUGGCCCAUGGCCAUGAGCACUCAGAGAGAUGGGUAAUGGAAGGGAAUGGGGAACGGAAGAGCAAGAGAGAAGCAAGAGAUAAGAGAACAAGAGAAGGAGGAGGGGACAAGCAGCCCCUUUUAUAGUGGGUCAAGCCUACCUGGAUGUUACCAGGUAACUGUGGGGAGGAGCAUACUUGGCUGUUACCAGGUAAAUGUGGGGUGGAGUUUAGAUAGAAUGCUAACACCUUUAUCAACACAUUUCCAUCCACUCUCUGAAUUUUCUAGAAAUUAGUUUUACCCUUGUUGGAGAGAAGGAAAAAAUAAACUGUGUUUUGCUACUCUUAUAACAUUCAACACAUUAUACUGCCAAAACUUGCUGGAGGAGGCCAUUUCCACAUCCCAAACCAUUCUCCAGCAGGUACCAGCUGCGUCCUACAGUUUAUCUCAAUUCCGACACUGUACAGAUGCAGUUAACAUCAGCUCCCACAAGUAGGGGACCUCAGCGCAUGCCCAAGACUCCUGCAUUCCAGGUGUUCACAAAUCUCAAGUUGUAAAUGGGUUAUCAUCAGAUCUUCUGAGGGCUGGCUAUAAAUAAAAUUGUCAAAUCC
rnacentral:lncRNA from 1 species